AGGCGACCAAUUGACUUGACUAAUGUGAAACCGCACGCUAUCGGGCACAAGUAGCAACUGUCGGUCUGUAGAAUUCAAACACCCAUUGCUACUAGAUUUUGAGUGUAGUCGGCUAUAGAAACUGUUGCACUGAUGUUAGGAGAGUUGCGUGCUCUUGAAUAUAUGUAUAUAUUUAAAAUCAUCAAAGCAAUAGCCACUUUGUUAACGUAAACAAACGCACGAUCAGUAGGUGAGAGAUAAGAUGACGAGAGAGCGAAAACGUGUUAGAGAGUAAAAUAGCAUAGGA